CCUACGGGAGGCAGCAGUGGGGAAUAUUGCACAAUGGGCGCAAGCCUGAUGCAGCCAUGCCGCGUGUGUGAAGAAGGCCUUCGGGUUGUAAAGCACUUUCAGUGAGGAGGAAGGGUAGUGUGUUAAUAGCACAUUGCAUUGACGUUACUCGCAGAAGAAGCACCGGCUAACUCCGUGCCAGCAGCCGCGGUAAU
rnacentral:rRNA from 1 species